rnacentral:rRNA from 1 species
UACGUAGGGUGCGAGCGUUGUCCGGAAUUAUUGGGCGUAAAGGGCUCGUAGGCGGUCUGUCGCGUCGGGGAGUGAAAACUCAGGGCUUAACCCUGAGCCUGCUUCCGAUACGGGCAGACUAGAGGUAGGCAGGGGGAGAGCGGAACUCCUGGUGUAGCGGUGGAAUGCGCAGAUAUCAGGAAGAACACCGGUGGCGAAGGCGGCUCUCUGGGCCUUACCUGACGCUGAGGAGCGAAAGCGUGGGUAGCGAACAGG